AGAAAGAGAGGGUAAGUGAUUAUCCUCGAGAGAGUUUUCGUUUUCCGCCGAAAUACAACGGAAAAGGAAAACUUCAAAUUUUCCCUAAAUCCGUAAAAAUAGUUUUACGGGAAAAUCAUUUUAUGUUGAACCAAACAAGUGGAAAAGCAUUUUUCAUUCCGAAAAAUAAUUUUUCAGUUCAUUUUACGCUGCACCGAAGACCCCCUAAGUAAAUUUUAUCUUGAUUCUAACUCUCUAAUCAAUAAAACAUUUUUUCAAAAUCUCACGAAUUGUAUCUUUUCCACACCAACAACGAAAAGCACUGUACUGGGCUCACACUGAGUAUUGGGCCUCAAAUUACACAACCUGAAACAAGUGUGAGCCUCAAAUUACACAACCUGAAACAAUAAAAUAACCUAGUUACUGCAUCAAACUUUGAUUGGGCCUCAAACAGAGGAUUUCAGUCACGUUCACCUUUACUGUGCAUCGACUUAUCUUUGAUGCCAUUGAUGCACUCUGUUUAGCUUCCACCUUGAAUAUAUUCAAAAUUUUCAAUCUUGUUGAUUCAUUGUGUCAAUGAUCUUCUAGUAAUAGUUUUGGAUACAGAUUGUAGGAUGUUUCUAUUGUUGUGAUUGAAAGAGUGUGUCUUUCAAAAAUUGCCAUGCUUGACCUUAGAAUAAUAUAGCCAAGGCAAGGCAACAGUGAUGUAGGAUGGGAUAUAGGAUCCUACGUUUUAGAGGGCUUCAAAUUAAUCUAAUCUAAUUUAAAAAAA
rnacentral:lncRNA from 1 species